rnacentral:rRNA from 1 species
CGCCGCGGUUAUACGAGAGACUCAAGCAGAUAGGCAAACGGCGUAAAGCGUGGCUAAGGGUUUGACAUAAAAUAAAGCAGAACAUCCCCAGCACUGUAAUACGUACAGCCGGGGCCAAAGAAGCACGUCUACGAAAGUGGCUUUACCACAACCCCACCCACGAAAGCUAAAAAA